ACUUAAACAACCAGGAGGUUGGCUUAGAAGCAGCCAUCCUUUAAAGAAAGCGUAAUAGCUCACUGGUCUAGUGAUUUUGCGCGGAAAAUAUAACGGGGCUAAAGUAAGUACCGAAGCUGUAGACUUGCGCACAACUUAGAUUAUUUAAGUUUAGAAUAUGAGAAACUAAGUUAUAUGUUUAGUUAUAUUUUUACUGAUUUUUAUAGAGUAAAGAUAGAAAUAAAACUUAGUAAAAUCAGUAAAAAUAUUCUUAGACUAAAGUUAAGUAGUUUAAGUUGUGUGCAAGUGGUAGGAGAGCGUUCUAUUUGCGUCGAAGGUAUACCGGUAAGGAGUGCUGGAGCGAAUAGAAGUGAGCAUGCAGGCAUGAGUAGCGAUAAUUAAUGUGAGAAUCAUUAACGCCGUAAACCCA
rnacentral:rRNA from 1 species